CCGCGGCGGGGGGCGGGCCCACGGAGGGAGACGCGCAGGGCCUUGGCGCUGCUGUCCCGGUCAGAGCGAGGCCUGUGCUCGCCCCCGGGUCUGGAGCGGGCGCUGGGUCCCCGCGCCCCGGGGGCUUCUCCCUCCGGCUGCAGCCGGCGAGAGUCCCGCCACGAGCACCCACCUGAGCCCACGGCCUCGCAUCGCGGGCACCUGAGAGUUGGGCCAACCACAGGUGCUCCGGGCGGCUGCUCGUCAGGUGUGCGCCUGGCCGCGUUCAGCCUCCCUCCUUAAAGAGCGCGGCCCCCACAGUCCCCAGGGUGGGGAAGGCCUCGGCCCUGCGGGGACAUUUGGGGAAAGGGCAGAGCUAGAAAGUGUUUUGAGUUCCUCCAGGUGUCUGCGAUUCUAUUGGCAGGAAAAUUCUGGACCGGGCGUGCAUUCUGUUUGGUAUUUGUCCAAAGUUGAGAGGUGGGGGUGGACACCCUAGAAGCAAUGGACUACCUGCUGUUCUUCAAGAGGAAGCCCUGAUUGUUUGGGACAAUUAAAACACGCGCGUGUUUCUGUCUUUGAAAGAAGCACUCUUAAGUUUUUCAGAAUGUUGGAGUCUGAAUUUUUAAGCAAAUCAACCAGGCAGGGCGCAGUGACCCACACCUUUAAUCCCAGCACUGGGGAGGCAGAGGCAGGUGAAUCUCCGUGAGUUCAAGUCUAGCGCUGUCUAUAUAGGGCAGCCAGAGCUUUAUGAGAGACCCUGCCUCAUAAAUGAAAAAGAAAGAACUCAGCCUGCAGUGUAUUUGCCAGUUUUUUUUUAAAACUAUGUUCUUUUCUUUGGAAUAAUAGCAAUAUGGCAGUUCAUUUUACUUUUAAUGUAUUGCCAGUGGUGAAGGACGGUUUCUGGAAGGAAGCUGUGUCUGCAGAGACUGACUGGCUAUAGCUGCUAUCCAGUGGAAAGCUGGGAUUGCUGCAGGGCCAGAGGCUCAUCACCUGAUCUCGGGCUAGUUCUAGCAUCGCAGAAUAGCCAUUGACUUGACCGCCUCUAAGUGUGUACUAAAAACCUUGUGACUAGGAGAUAAAAUACCUUUCGGGACCUAUAAACUCAGCAGACCACUGACUUUCACCAGUCCAAAGCUAAGAAUGCGGUAAGACAGCAUCCUGUGACUACAGUGAAGCUGCCUGCACCUUGGCCAGCCUGCCUGCCGGUCUGAUGCACUUUAGUAAAAUAUGCCAAUGUAUUUUAAACGUGCCUCGACUUCUUUGUUCUGUAAAACUUCAUGAAACUGUUUCCAGUUGAACCAUGAAAUUUGAGGUCAUUUAAAUCUGUUUUCCCAGGCCAUGGUCACUCAGGGUAGCUCCAGAAUAAUUCCUCGCGUGCCCUUUAAGAGGGCAGCUGUAUUUUUUGCAUCAACAAUGUGACACAUAAGAUUACAAUUCUAAUAUGUCGUUGUCUUUUUAUACAUUUUUCCUUUAUGGCUUCAUUUUUAAAUUGUAGUUUUUUUUGCUUUUCAAUAGUUGCAUAAAAAUAGACACAUCAGAUUUCAAGUUUACUUUGGUUUGUAUUUAACGUAUUUUUAGCGAAUAUUUUUAAUCACUGUUGUACAGGGUGUGUGGGUCAGGAAUGAGUCCAUAGGUUCAGGAGCAUACAGAAGCCAUAAGAGAGUGUGGGACUCCGCUAAAGCUGAAGUGAUUGGCAUUUGGGAGCUGCCCAGUCCAGUCCAUGCUGAGAGCCCAGCUCCUGCCCUAAAGUUCUUAAUGAUUGAGCCAUCUCUCCCGCCCCUAUUGUUUUGAAUGUGUCAGAAUUGUGAGAAAACAAUUCCUAGUGUUUAUGCCUUUUAAUAUGUGGUAUUAUAGAAUGCCAGUCAGAUCCAAGAUAGUAUGUUUUUGCAUUUUCUACAAACAAGUAUUUUAGUCAUUCUAAACAAGCAGUUGCUUUCUGUAUACUCUGGGCAACUGGCAGUGGACCAUUUCAGAAAAGCCAGUAAUUUGAUCACAGAAUACUCAGAGAGCUCCAGGAAAGAUUCUAGAAAGGGUAUUCUUUUAUUAACUUAAAGCCGGAGAUGGCUUUCAAAUUUGCUGUCGUCUAGGCAAUUGAUUCUUCUUGGUACCAUAAGCAACUGUGCCUACCUCUGAUUGCUGUGGGACAAUGGUCUUUUAUCCUGUCAUUUGUAUUAUUUUUAAUAAAGUACUGGUUGGCCAGUAGCCAGGCAGGAAGUAGAGGUGUGGCAACGAGAAUUCUGGGAAGAGGAAGUUUCAAUCUGCAGUUGUGACCCAAUCUCAGAGGAAGCAAGAUGUGACUGUCCCGCCAAAAAAGGACAGGACGCGACAGAAAACCGGUCAGCAUCUGAUGAUGCUGGAAUUGUCAUCAGCUCAGCCUUCCACCCUAGGUAGCAAGCACUAAGAGAACAUCCAUGAUUCCAUACAAAACAAGGAUAGAAGCUGUGCUGAAGACCAGGUUACUCAAGAGAAUCAUAAGAGAGCAGAGGCCUUAAUGUGGGAAGGAGUCAGAAAAAUCCCCAAGUUACACUAAAGUGAGAGUAGAAGAUUUUGGAUGAAAUGCAUGGUUUGGUGAGCACCUGCUGCCUGCCUUGCUGGUACCCUCCUCCCAUCCUCUUCCAUUCUCAAAACGUCUCUGUGCACGUGGUGCUGUGUGUUGCUGGAAGGACCUCGCAGAGGGGCAGAAAGCUCCUCACAAAGUCUAGUGGAAGAGUUCCCAGUACUCCUGCAGGUCUGACCAACUGAUGCUGGACAACCAGUACUUUGCUAAACCAGCAUAGUCCCAAACAACAGUCUAUAGACAUGUGUCCUUAUACCCGCAGCACCGGUCUUUUGUGCAGAAAACUUGCAGCAAGUUCAGCAAAGACUCGGGUUGAUUACACUCACUCACCAGCACAUGGGCACCUAAAACAGAAUUCAGCCAAAUGUGUGCAUGUGUGCACUGUUGUCUGGUUAAAGGAACAUACUACAUGCCCAGGAUAAACAUAGUUUUCAGACGAUCCCAGGUGCCCCCUUUUGGAGAUAAUGAGAUGGUUCAGUGUAAGGAUGGUUGUUGCCAAGCCUCGCAACUGGAGUUUGAUCCUGGGAACCUACAGAGUAGGAGGACUGACAUUGGCUUGUAUUUGCUGCUUCCUUUGGUCACGUAAAGGGGAAGGGUGCGGUGAGGGCAGACAGAACAACGUGCUGCCACAGAGGACCACAGAAGAUGUAACGGAACCAAAAGGAAUUGGGGAAAAAAAAGAAGUUUUCCUCGGAGAGAAGCAGACCUUGGCCUCAGUGCAAGUGAGGAGAAACAAAGUGUGGCAGAGACAUCGGAGAAACUGGAGCCAGAAAUGUGAGAGCCACUGACAGGCAUGCGGUUUCAGAGAAUCCCCGUGGACGUCCCGUGGAUGAGCUGGUCCACUCAGAGACGUGAGAGCCACUGACUGAAAAUUGUGAUGCCCAGUGAGGCGACUGGCUCUGGGCCGAGCAGGAGAGGAGAAGAGACUGCGCCGGAGAUGGUAGCCACAGUUGGCUCCUCGGCGCUCAUCAGGUGGCCUCUACCUCCAUCCUCUGUACACUUCCCUGCAUUGACAUGCAAACAUCAGGUCGCAGUGACAAUCCUCGGCUGAGAUUUCAUUCUGUGCAGAGAGGCGCUCACGGCACAUUCGUCCGGAUCCUCAGCACCACUAUGACUGGUCAGUAUGUGUCUUCAUGUAGAGUUUGUUCCGGCUGUGACAAUGGGUGGGUGACUACACCCGUGUCUUCCUUACAGUAAAUCACCAGAGAAAAACGGUGGGUAACAAGCACGUAACUACAGAUGGAGGCUCACACACCAUGAACUGAGACUUCGUAGUAAGUGGAAGACCAGGGCAGACAGAGUUCAUCUUAUCAAUUUACAUAAACCACAUACAUCAGUAUAAAAGUCCAUUUUUGGGCAUCAGUAUUAUUAUUAUUAUUUUUUUGAGACAGAGUUUCUCUGUGCAGCCGUGGCUGUCCUAGAACUCGCUCUGUAGACCAGGCAAUCCUCCUGCCUCUGCCUCCUGAGUGCUGGGAUUAAAGGCAUGCACCAACAAUACUCAGCUGAGGGCAUCUCUAUUCUAAAAGGUAAUUUUAAACACACACACAUGAGGGAGGAGGGACAGGCAUGGAGAGUAAAACCAAUCUUAAAAAAACAAACAAAAAACCCUACUUUUCUCCCCCCCUAAAUUUAAUCUUUUUGUUAUUGUUUGUUUACUUAUUGGAGACAAGAUUUCAGAUAGUACAGGCUGGCUUUGAACUUGUUAGGUAGUUGAGGUCAACUCUGAACUGUCUGCUUCCAUUUCCAAAGUUCUAGGAUACCAGGUGUGUGCCACUACACCUAUGUUUCUAUUUUAAUUUUUUAAAAAGAAUUUAAGACAACUCAUAAAUCUAAUUUUCAUAUUUCCCUAUAAAUUUAUGUGUUUCUGGAAGUCCCAUAGGGGUCAGACCAUAGAUUAAUGUCAUUUUAAAAUGGAAUUUAAAUUCUUUAAAAAAUUUUCCCUAUUACUUUAUGUGUACGAGUGUUUUGCCUGCAUGUAAGCGCACUGAGUAUGUGCCUGGUGCCAGAGACCAGAAGAGAGUUUAGGUUGCUGGGACUGGAAUUACUCAUGGCUAUGAGCUGUCAUAUGGGUGCUGGGAGGAUCUUUGUCCUGUGCAAGAACAGUCAGUGUCUGAAGUGUUGCACCAUCUCCCCAACCCUGGAGCUUAAAUUCCUAUUGCAAAUACAGACGCUUUCAUUGUCUAAAUGCCAUUUAAGUCCUUUUAUUCUUUAUUCAUAGUUUUUCAGGUUCUGAGUCUGGUGCAUUUCACAAGCUUGCGUUUUCAAAUUUAUCCUGUUUCUCACUUUUCACUAACAGGGCUACACAGUUUUCAGAAGAAGGUAUCACUUCUUAAGGGGUUCCCUUUCGUGAUGUAAGCUAGCAGCCCAAGGGAAAAAAUACUCACAUUGUACUGUCCUUUUAUUGUUUGUGGUGAUGCUGGUAUGAACAAGCUUAGAAAAUAGAAACCGGAGCAGCUUGCCUGUUGUGUGGGAGUUGAACAGACUGAGUCAGAUGCGCCUCUCAGCUGGGAGACCGGACCUGCGACACCCUGCAGUGUGCAACAAGGAAAACAGCAACAGGACCGGCCUCUAUUCAACCGGCGUGUGCCCAAGACAGGAGCAGAAAGCAGCUGCGUCAAAUGCACACGGGGCUGCUCACUCUGCUGACGGAGGGGAGGCAGAGGCGGGAUGGAAGGCCAGUGGUAAUAAAGACUGUUUUGGUCUUCUUUA